rnacentral:rRNA from 1 species
UACGGAGGGUGCGAGCGUUGUCCGGAAUCACUGGGCGUAAAGGGCGCGUAGGCGGCCUGAUAAGUAGGGGGUGAAAUCCUGCGGCUUAACCGCAGGGCUGCCUUCUAAACUGUCAGGCUAGAGCACAGUAGAGGCAGGUGGAAUUCCCGGUGUAGCGGUGGAAUGCGUAGAGAUCGGGAAGAACAUCAGUGGCGAAGGCAGCUCGCUGGGACGUGACUGACGCUGAGACGCGAAAGCGUGGGGAGCAAACAGG